rnacentral:rRNA from 1 species
UACGUAGGGUGCAAGCGUUGUCCGGAAUUAUUGGGCGUAAAGAGCUCGUAGGCGGUUUGUCGCGUCUGCUGUGAAAACCCGAGGCUCAACCUCGGGCCUGCAGUGGGUACGGGCAGACUAGAGUGCAGUAGGGGAGAUUGGAAUUCCUGGUGUAGCGGUGGAAUGCGCAGAUAUCAGGAGGAACACCGAGUGGCGAAGGCAGAUCUGCUGGGCCGUAACUGACGCUGGAGGAAGCGGAAAGCCAUGGGGAGCGAACAGGAUUAAGAAACCCUGGGUAG